rnacentral:lncRNA from 1 species
AAGUGUCUGGUUGCAGCGUUAGUAGCCAAGAACUUUCCUUUCACAUACUGACCUUUUUUAUGUGCAAGAAUAUGCCCACCAGGAGGUGAGUGAGUCUUACCUUCUCUUCUGAGGCCUGCUUCUGGUGAUGAACUCAUUUGGUCCCCUUUUCCCAUCCACCUGGAACUCCCUAAGAGGUCUUGCUGGCUGUAGGAGUAAGAACACCACCAGUUGAAGUAAUUCUGUGAGAGACUGCAUGUACAUAGUACCAAAAAAAGAUCAUGGUCACACAGAAUUGGGGUUAGGGAAUGCCACCACUAUGCAACAAUGUAUAAACAAAACUCCAGCUCCCACUCAUGUUCCUAGUAUUAGUUCUGAACAUCUCGUCCCAAACCAUGCCUCAUAUUUUACUCAGUGCAGUUGUCAGUCUUCUUAGUAGACCACUUUUUCACCAGUGUUGGCCAUCUCUUGCAAUUUAGACCUGACGAUUCGUAUCAAUCACCUUUAUAUUUUG